rnacentral:snoRNA from 1 species
GAGCACUGUUUGUGACCUGUUAGCCUGGCUGUGGCUAAUGGGUUCCAUUCCAGUGCUACAGCAGUUCCAUCGACACAUGACUGACUGGCUGGUGGCUCUCGGUGUCAGGUCUUGGAGACACAG